rnacentral:rRNA from 1 species
CCUACGGGUGGCAGCAGUGGGGAAUAUUGGACAAUGGGGGCAACCCUGAUCCAGCCAUGCCGCGUGUGUGAAGAAGACCCUCGGGUUGUAAAGCACUUUCAGUGAGGAAGAACGCCUGGUGGUUAAUACCCAUCAGGAAAGACAUCACUCACAGAAGAAGCACCGGCUAACUCCGUGCCAGCAGCCGCGGUAAUACGGAGGGUGCGAGCGUUAAUCGGAAUUACUGGGCGUAAAGCGCGCGUAGGUGGCUUGAUAAGCCGGUUGUGAAAGCCCCGGGCUCAACCUGGGAACGGCAUCCGGAACUGUCAAGCUAGAGUGCAGGAGAGGAAGGUAGAAUUCCCGGUGUAGCGGUGAAAUGCGUAGAGAUCGGGAGGAAUACCAGUGGCGAAGGCGGCCUUCUGGACUGACACUGACACUGAGGUGCGAAAGCGUGGGUAGCAAACAGGAUUAGAUACCCUAGUAGUC